rnacentral:rRNA from 1 species
ACGCUCAACACCUACGGGAGGUAGCAGUCGGGAAUAUUGCGCAAUGGAGGAAACUCUGACGCAGUGACGCCGCGUGCAGGAAGAAGGUUUUCGGAUUGUAAACUGCUUUAGACAGGGAAGAACAAAUGACAGUACCUGUAGAAUAAGCUCCGGCUAACUACGUACCAGCAGCCGCGGUAAUCUGAGCGGGCUGGCAAGGC